GGGGUUGAGACGAAGAGAGAGAAAGUGGUUAAGAAGUUGUAAUAGAAUUACCAAAAAUUGUCUAAGUAUUCAGCUCCCCUUUUGAUGUCUUUAAUAAGCUGCUCACGUAUGGGCCUAAAUGAUAUAUUGGUAUUGGGCCGUCCAAUACAUCUGUUCUACUAAGCCCAACGACUUACUCUCUAGCUUAUUAGUGGACUUAGUCUCUUAUCUUUUUUAAUCCCCUCUGGUCACGUGUCUCAAUCUCGACCCUCUAUUUACAAUAUUGAGACUUAUUUCAUCUACUUUCCUAAUUCUUCACCUACUUUCCCAUUUUAUACCUAGUAAAAUUCCAAACCCUAACAAUCCCUUCCCCUUUGAAAAUGACCUUGUCCUCAAGGUUUCUGUUGAGCCACAAAUUCUGAAAAUCGAUUCUUGAUAUAACCCCAAUCGUCCCAUGUCGCUUCUUUCACACUCAAGUUAGACCACUGAAUCAAAACCUUCAUGUUGACCCCAUUUUCGACCUUGACCAUUUUCUUUGAAGAAUUGCCAGUGGCUGAAUCAUGAUCUGUCCGUCGGUGUCACAACUAGGGGGUUGACGGUGAGUAACAACAGCUGGUCCAACUCGACGCUUCAGCUGGGAAACAUGAAAAACAAGGUUUCAAUGGAAUAAAGUGAUCAUGACUCCUCUUUGGUGGCAAAGAUUUAGGUUCCACAAAAACUCCUGAAAAUCUAUCUAGCACUCUUUGGAUCUGCUCAGGUAUGCCUUCAGAUUUUUUUGUUACACUGGUAGUAAUAGUGAACAAGUGAGCCCACAACAGAUGACCCUUUUUAAGAAGCUAUUUGACACCACUAGAGGUUAUGCUCUGUAGUUUCCCCUCUUCAAAAUGCCCUUUCAAGUCUACUCUUUUCCCUUUCACACUCACCGACAAUCUAUUUUCUAUGAAGUCAAAUAGCAUUGAAUUGUGUUUUCUCAUCCAGCCAACUCCCAAUACUACAUCACACCCUCCAAUGUCCAACACUCUUAAUUUGUGCUCAAAGACAAUCCCAUUAGUCUUCCACUUAAACUAAGGACAAAAUUGAUGACCCAUUAGGUAUCCUUCAUUGGCAGCAACUACCCUCAUGAGGACAUCUACCUGUAUGAGAAACCCUAGUUGUUUGGCUGUGUCACUGGCUAUGAAGCUAUUGGUACUGCCACUGUCAGCUAAAAUGAUUAGCACCUUCUUCCUAUACACCCCUUUAAACUUGAUAGUGGUAGAGGUGACAGUGUCAGAUAAGGCAUUGAGACUGAUUGCCUCAUCAAAUACCUCCUCUGUUGGAUCACUAGGCACCACCUCCUCUUCUUUAUGCGGCUCUAUCUCCUAUCCUUCUUGAUCAAUGAUGCUCUGCAUAGUGUUCAACUGUUUGUUCUUACACACAUGUCUAACAAAAUAUUUAUCUCCAUACUUAUAACAUUCUCCCCUGGCCCUCCUAGCUUUAAACAAUUUAGUACCUGGAUUAGCUGGGUUAGAAUUAUCCUUUUUUGGACUGAAAGAAGAUGAUCUUCCUCCUGAACCACUAUUAUUAGAAACAUACUGUCCUCGCUGCCUGGCUCCACACAUUCUGUUCUUCUUAUACAUAGAGUCCAUCAACUCCUCCUUAUGCGUAACUUUCUCUAGAGAUUGACUCAAGGAAAAAGGGUCAAGCAUUUUAACUGUAUGCCUGAUCUCUUCCUUAAGUCCUUCAAUGAAGAACCCUUAAAAGGCCUUUAGAUCUUCAAACUUUUCUAAGUAUUCAUUCACAGUACCAAUUUGCUCAAUUCUUUUGAAUUGGCCGAGUAAGUUUAUGUUACUAUUAUCAGAAUUGUUAAACUCUUACAGAUUUCUUCAACAAAAUCAAGCCAUCUUACAAUUCCUUUACUGACUUGAUAAGAGAAGUACCAAGAUUCAGCCCCACCAUUAAGAUGUAAUACUACAGUUUCUAAUUUGUGUUGUGGAUCGUUUAUGUGAUUAUAAUGGAAAUACCUUCCGUAUUUUCUCAACCAAGAUCUGGGAUCACCUUCUUCAAAAUUUGGACAUUCAACCUUAGAAGAGAAGCCGUUUGCAUGGAAUCUGCCAAUGGAGUUCUCCAUAUUUUCAACCACUCUUGGUCUAUUGCCAGAUCCUUCUACAUGAGGACCUCCCAUGGGUGGACUACCCAGAAUUCCAUACUUGCUCGCGAAAAUGUUUCUCCAUCAACACAUCCAUUUUCCGACCCAAGUCAUCCAUUUUUGAGUCAUUGGACUCCAGUUUCUUAUUUGUUUCUGACAUAUAACUUUGUAACUGCAACUCUAGCUUCUUUACAUUAACUGCUGAAGCUUUUGAUCGGGUUUCUGGAAUCGACAUUGUGUCAGGACGAUGCUCUGAUACCAAUUUGUUAUGUACUAGACAAUUAAGAAGAAUUAUUGACAAGUAAUAAGAAGAAUGAAUAAAAAGUUUUAUUCAA